GCGCUGCUCCGGGAGCCCGAGCCGGAGCCGGAGACUGGAAGCCUCUGUCCCAUGGCCGGGUCUCCCCGCCGCCCGGCGGGCCGGCGACUGCAGCUGCCCCUGCUGUGCCUCCUCCUCCAGGGCGCCACCGCCAUCCUCUUUGCGGUCUUUGUCCGCUACGACCGUGAAACCGACGCUGCCCGCUGGCACUGGGGCAACCGCAGUAACGCGGACAAUGAAUUUUACUUUCGCUACCCAAGCUUCCAGGAUGUGCACGCCAUGAUCUUCGUGGGCUUCGGCUUCCUCAUGGUCUUCCUGCAGCGCUACGGCUUCAGCAGCGUGGGCUUCACCUUCCUCUUGGCCGCCUUUGCCCUGCAGUGGUCUACACUCGUCCAGGGGUUCUUCCACUCCUUCCACGGAGGCCACAUCCACGUAGGCGUGGAGAGCAUGAUCAACGCUGACUUCUGCGCUGGGGCUGUGCUCAUCUCCUUUGGUGCCACACUGGGCAAGACCGGGCCGGCUCAGCUGCUGCUCAUGGCCCUGCUGGAGGUGGUGCUGUUUGGCCUCAAUGAGUUUGUGCUUCUUAAUCUCCUGGAGGUGAGUCCGGAUGGGGAUGGGGUGGGGGGGUGGGGGUGGGCAGGGCCAGGCGCUGAGCGGGGAGGGCGUGGGGUAGCGGUAGGGGCAAGGGGCUGCCCCUCCACCUCAGCUCCACCUCCCCAGGUGAAGGAUGCAGGAGGCUCCAUGACGAUUCACACUUUUGGUGCCUACUUCGGGCUGGUCCUCUCCAGGGUCCUCUAUAGGCCCCAGCUGGAGAAGAGCAAGCAUCUCCAGGGCUCCGUCUACCAUUCGGACCUCUUCGCCAUGAUUGGGACCAUCUUCCUAUGGAUCUUCUGGCCUAGUUUCAACUCUGCACCCACUGCGCUGGGGGAUGGGCAGCAUCGGACGGCUCUGAACACCUACUACUCCCUGACCGCCAGCACCCUCAGCACCUUCGCCUUGUCAGCCCUUGUCGGGGAGGAUGGGCGGCUGGACAUGGUCCACGUCCAGAAUGCAGCACUGGCCGGAGGGGUUGUGGUGGGGACAUCGGCUGAAAUGAUGCUGACACCCUUUGGGGCUCUGGCAGCUGGCUUCCUGGCUGGGGCCGUCUCCACCCUGGGGUACAAGUUCUUCACGCCCAUCCUUGAGUCAAAAUUCAAAGUCCAAGACACAUGUGGCGUCCACAACCUCCAUGGGAUGCCUGGGGUCCUGGGAGCCCUCCUGGGGGUCCUUGUGGCAGGGCUGGCCACCCAUGAAACUUACGGAGAUGGCCUAGAGAGUGUGUUUCCGCUCAUAGCCGAGGGCCAGCGCAGUGCAACGUCUCAGGCCAUCCACCAGCUCUUCGGACUGUUUGUCACACUGAUGUUUGCCUCUGUGGGUGGGGGCCUUGGAGGCAUCAUGUUGACCUCAUGCCUCCUGGUUCCUCUGCGCCCUGUGGUAUUGGAUGGUAGUCUCCCCCAUCGGGCCUCACACAAUAUCCCCUACUGCCCCCAGGGCUCCUGCUGAGGCUGCCCUUCUUGGACUCCCCGCCAGACUCCCAGUGCUAUGAGGACCAGAUUUACUGGGAGGUGCCUGGGGAGCAUGAGAAUUUAGUCCAGGGAGCUCUGAGGGCAGAGGAACCAGAGACUCAGGCCUAACUUGCCUCUAGCCCUUGAAAGGAUGCUCUCCUUUUAGAAGAUGAUGACUGGCUACCGUUGGGAAGCUCUUCUUUUCUAGCUCCCAUCACUUCUGCUGCAAGAAAGAAGACAGGAGCCGGAAGGAGUCACCUUACCAUGGGCAGCACUGGGGGAGAGGCAGUAGAAGGCCAGGGAGAUGGUGGAGAAGCUGGCUGGCUGUAACUGGCCGUGGCGAGGAAAGAGCCUCACACAACCCCACUCCCCCCCCAUGCCCUACAAGUGAGGCACCCAAGUGACUGCUAAUCCCUGGACCAGCAUCACUCAGUUACAGGGAAGCCAGAGCCAGGGCCUGGCUCUCUCAGGGUGAUAAAUACCACGGUCACCAAGGA